rnacentral:rRNA from 1 species
GACGAACGCUGGCGGCGUGCUUAACACAUGCAAGUCGAACGGAAAGGCCCUGCUUUUGUCGGGUGCUCGAGUGGCGAACGGGUGAGUAACACGUGAGUAACCUGCCCUUGACUUUGGGAUAACUUCAGGAAACUGGGGCUAAUACCGGAUAGGAGCUCCUGCUGCAUGGUGGGCGUUGGAAAGUUUCGGCGGUUGGGGCUGGACUGGCGGCUUACCAGCUUGUUGGUGGGGGAGUGGCCUACCCAGGCUUUGACGGGUAGCCGGCCUGGGAGGGGGGACACGGACCAUGGGACUGAGAGACGGAGCAGACUGCUACGGGAGGCAGCAGUGGGGAAUCUUGUACAAUGGGGGGGAGUCUGAGGCAGAAGCGUCGCGUGCGGGAAGACGGCCUUCGGGUGGUAAACGGCAUUCGCCUGUGACGAAGCGUGAGUGACGGUAAUGGGUAAAGAAGCACCGGCUAACUACGUG